ACUCAAAGGAAUUGACGGGGGCCCGCACAAGCAGCGGAGCGUGUGGUUUAAUUCGAUGCAACGCGAAGAACCUUACCAGGGCUUGACAUGCGGCCCACAGGGGGCGAAAGCCCCCGCCCGCGAGGGGUGCCGCACAGGUGCUGCAUGGCUGUCGUCAGCUCGUGCCGUGAGGUGUUGGGUUAAGUCCCGCAACGAGCGCAACCCCCGGGCCUAGUUAGGUUCCUAGGCCGACUGCCGGGACCAACCCGGAGGAAGGUGGGGAUGACGUCAAGUCAGCACGGCCCUCACGCCCUGGGCCACACACACGCUACAAUGGCCGGUACAGCGGGCGGUGCGAAGCCGCGAGGCGGAGCGAAUCCCUGCAAAGCCGGCCCCAGUGCAGAUCGGGGGCUGCAACCCGCCCCCGUGAAGUCGGAGUUGCUAGUAACCGCGGGUCAGCACACCGCGGUGAAUACGUUCCCGGGCCUUGUACACACCGCCCGU
rnacentral:rRNA from 1 species